rfam:Canis lupus familiaris chromosome 8, whole genome shotgun sequence.
GCCUGGCUGGCUCAGAUGGUAGAGCAUGUGACUCUUGAUCUUGAGGUCAUGAAUUCAAGCUCCAUGCUGGGCA